rnacentral:rRNA from 1 species
UGAGUAACGAGAAAACGGGUGAGAAACCCGUUCGCCGCAAACCCAAGGUUUCCUAGGUAAAGCUAAUCUGCCUAGGGUUAGUCGACCCCUAAGAUGAGGCUGAAAAGCGUAGUCGAUGGGAAACAGGUAAAUAUUCCUGUACUAUGAUAUGUUUCGAUGGAAUGACACAGAUUGUUUGCGUACGCGUUAGAUUGGUAGAUAACGUCAAACAGUUUAGACUUGUGAUGAGUAAAAUGCUUGUUGCUUUAAGGUUGAGGCUGGAUAGUGACUGGGCUUUCGGGUUCAGGAAGUUGCGUGAGCUAGGCUGUCGAGAAAUAAUUUCUAAGGUUAGGCAUGUCGUAAUCGUACCGCAAACCGACACAGGUGGGUGAGAUGAGUAUUCUAAGGCGCUCGAGAUAAUCUUCCCUAAGGAACUCUGCAAAUUAGUCUUGUAACUUCGGAAAAAGAGACGCUUGAAUCUUGGUAGCAAUAUUGAGAGGAGAGUCGCAGUGAAAAGGCCUGGCCGACUGUUUAACAAAAACACAGAUCUCUGCAAACAUGUAAAUGGAUGUAUAGGGAUUGACACCUGCCCAGUGCUGGAAGGUUAAAAGGAGAGGUUAGCGUAAGCGAAGCUUCGAAUUGAAGCCCCAGUAAACGGCGGCCGUAACUAUGACGGUCCUAAGGUAGCGAAAUUCCUUGUCGGGUAAGUUCCGACCUGCACGAAUGGUGUAACGAUCCGGGCACUGUCUCGGGGAAGAACUCGGUGAAAUUGAAUUAUCAGUGAAGAUGCUGAUUACCCGCAACAGGACGGAAAGACCCCGUGAACCUUUACUAUAACUUGACAUUGAGUUUUGUUUUGUGAUGUGUAGGAUAGAUGGGAGGCUUUGAAGUGGGAGCGCCAGCUUUCAUGGAGCCAUCGU